GAUGAACGCUGACAGAAUGCUUAACACAUGCAAGUCGACAUGAACUUCGGUUUGUGUGGCGUACGGGUGAGUAACGCGUAACGAACUUGCCUCACAGAUCGGGACAACAUUUGGAAACGAAUGCUAAUACCUGAUAUUAUGAUUAUAUGGCAUCGUAUCAUUAUGAAAGCUAUAUGCGCUGUGAGAGAGCUUUGCGUCCCAUUAGCUAGUUGGAGAGGUAACGGCUCACCAAGGCGAUGAUGGGGAGCCGGCCUGAGAGGGUGAUCGGCCACAAGGGGAAUGAGACACGGCCCGUACUCCUACGGGAGGCAGCAGUGGGGAAUAUUGGACAAUGGACCAAGAGUCUGAUCCAGCAAUUCUGUGUGAACGAUGAAGUUUUGCGGAAUGUAAAGUGCUUUCAGUUGGGAAGAAAAAAAUGACGGUACCAACAGAAGAAGUGACGGCUAAAUACGUG
rnacentral:rRNA from 1 species